GUUUCCCUCGGUGCUCGAGGCGGGGAAGAACGGGCAGCGCCAUGAUGACGCCUCCAAGGAGGUGACGGUGCCCGUGGGCGUCGCCGUCGUCAGCAUCACGCAGGGAUUUCUCCUGACCCUGCCGUCAGCCCCGACGCCCAUCACACUGAAGAGACCGCCCCCGUACGCGGGUUCGAUCUCUGUGCUUUUAGUACUAGUCCCUGUAUCGACUCACCAGCACACACAAUUUCAAGAUGUAAUAUCAUAGAACAAAGGUUUCAAUAUUACAACGCAUCAUCCAGAAUUUAAAAGUACUUACAAGCUCGUAUAACCUCAUGGGUUAGCUGGAAAUAAAACAAUUGUUUAGCAGCGGAAAAACGGAAGAUACAAGGGCUACAUCAACAUCAUGGUGAGAGCGUGUUGGAAUAUAGGCCCGUAACCCAAACAAGCAAAGCGUACUCUUACUCUUCGUUGGAGCUUCCUGCAUCAUUAAAGGAUGCAACCACUAGGGUCAAUACAUUGAAUGUAUUGGUAAGAUCACUAGGGGUUAUAUCAAAAUUUACCAAGUAUAUGCAUAAUGUGGCAAAGUGGGGUUCAAGGCUAUUUGCAUAAAAGCUUAGUUGUAUUGUCCUAUCUUUUAAUCAAAUAGAAUUUUAUCACUAUUGGACAUAGGGUAGACAUACCCAUGCUCUUAUUAAACUAAGGACAUUGAGUAGACACAUCAAUGCUCCUAAACCCAAGUUCAAACCAUUCCUUUUAUUUGAAAAUUAGAAUGAGUGAGAUUUUCCUUACAGCUCCACAUCCAGUUGCUCAAAAUUUGUCCAUUACCGAGGACACGGCUAAGUACUUAGUUUUGACGCUCUCGAGAGUUUGUACACAUUCCCCACAAGAAACCGACAGGUUAAUCUCUUGCUGUCCUCGGGGUAGAGUAGCAACGGCGUCGAUUACGAGAUUUUCAGAGGUAAUUCCCUAAACCACGAGAGAAUCAUGCCCCCCUACACAUUCUACCUCAGUACAAUUCCUUGGGUCUAGGUUCAUACAACUUACUCUUGUCUCGCCAGAGCUCAUAUAGCAUUGUGGUUGUACUGGAAGCUACUAAAUAGGAAACUAGUCCAGUCUCAGUUACCUCAGGCGGCAUUCCACAGUUGCAAUGUAGGCGCUCCCCGAAUCCACGGGAGAUACGUCCAUGGACGAUCCCUUUCCGAAUCCACGGAAAGUCGACUCAGAGGGACCCAUAGAAAUGGACCUGACGCCGCUAAUCCUCAAAAUUCUCAAAGCCGCCCACCCAGGAUGGUUCAUUGAAUUAAUUGUUUUGCCUUACUCUUGUAAAACAUUUCUUUUCUCCAUAGGCAUAAUAAUAUCAUAAUGUAUUAAUAUCCCCCACGAUACUAUCAUAGCCUAGCAUUCAACUACAAUCGAUGGCAAUUUGGUAGCAGGGUAAUGACAAGGGUAAACUAUACUACCUGGGAUUUAUAGCUAGCAUAGAGGUACGAGUAAUAUUCCUAAUGCAUCUAAUAAAACAACUAGUGCAUAGUAAAAAUAUUUGGGAGAUGAUCAAAGUGAACUUGCCUUGUCCAAGGUUGUGGUAGUUCUCGCACUCUUCGCAACAACAAGGUUCACAAUCCACACAAUCUAAAAUAAAAGAAAGCACACACACAAUAAACAUGCCAUUCAAUACAAAACAUGCUAUGAUGCAUAUGUCAUGACGAUGCACACAUAGGUUGCUUCUAAAUGUGACAUGUUUAGUUUUCUGUUUUGAAAAGCUUCACAAAAGAUUUGGACAGAUUAUACAAUAACAAAGAGGUACUUAUUUUGUAUGAAACAAGGAUGGGCUUUAAUUAAAAGCUUAUAUGAUUUUUGUAAAGCAUGGAGCAAGAUAAAUUUGUGUGGCCAUAUCAUUUACAAAAUAAUUUCCUUUCUGGUCCUAAUGGACAGAGAACAUACUCAAAUUAUUUUUCAGCAAGCUAACAUGCUCAAAACUAGUUUGAAAUAAUUCAUUUGAAUAUUAAACCAUAAUUAAGCAUUCUGUAAUUUGUUUCUGGUAAAGUUAUUCAAAGUUAAAAUUAUAUUAUGCCAAAAGAUUAUGCAGGUUAUGAGGAUUCCAUAAAGGUAUAGAACUUCAAAUUUGGCCAAACGGUUUGAGAGAUAUGAUGGUUUGAAGUUUCAGGGGCUUUUUUGCAAAGUUACUUUUUAAUUCGGCCGAGAAAUAAAUUUUAAUUUUAUACGGGACACGUGGAGCUAUCCUAUAGGCUGGUACCGGUUCGGUUAGGGUUUUAAUCUCAGCCGUUCAUGGAGAUCCGACGGCAGAGAGGGGAGACGGCUCACCGGGCGGCGCUAGGGUUCGUCGAAGACGAGGAAGACUGCUGCGGCGACAGCACGGCGACUCGGGCGGCAGUUCGGCUCGGGGAAGUAGGGGAACGGGUGCGGCUCGGCGAAGCGGUCCCAGCGGGGGUCGCGGCUUUGCUCGGGGAGCUCGAACGCGACGUCAAGGACGACGAAGGGCGGCGGCCGGCGGCGACGGCCUCUGGUCUGCGGCGGUCCAAAACAGAAAACGACCGCGUCACACGGUGCGCGCGAGAGAGAGAGAGAGGAGAAGGAAGAGGGGGUCGGCCGUGCAAAAAGCUCACCGGGACGACGACGACGGCAGAGAGCUUUCUCCAGCGAGGAAUUGCGAUGAAGCGAGGGCGAAAUUGAGCGUGGGAGUUGGGGGAAAAGUGAGAGAAGAGAGGGGCUUCAAGGUGACGCGCACAGGUUUGAGGAAGGGGGCUCUGCGCGGAAGAAACGGCGCGGAGUCGUGGGCGUGCUCGUGGGUCGUGGCCGGAGAUUUCGGCCGGGCAGUUGGAGAAGAUGACGGGCGGGGCCGCAUGUCAGCGGCACAGGCGGCUCGGGCGCGCGGGGCUGGUCCAGUUUGGUCGGUUAGCAGGCCGGUUCGGCCCAUUUGGCCGGGCCGGCCGCGGUUUUUUUUUUCCUUUUUCUUUUUCUAUUUUCUGUUUUUGAACACCAAAAUUGAUUCAAAGCUCCAAAUCACUCUCAAUAAAUUGCAACAAAAUUUGUAAAAAUCAUAUUUUCAUAUGAUCUAACUUUUGGGACAAGAUUUCUCUCAAAAUAAAAUACUUAAAAAUACCUUUUCCCUAUAAAAUUAGCCUUUAAGGCCUUUUAGACUAUCAAAAUAAUUUGUUUUUCAAAACAAUUUCAAAGGCCAAAUUAUGGGAUAGGCAUAUAUAUACAUUAAAUCCCUUUUUAUGUCAAAACCCACAUGGAUUAAAAUGCAAUUAUUCAAAAGCAAGAACAAAGGCCAAAUUCAAAUAAAAGUACUUUUGUAAAAGGGUUUUCUGGGUUAAUUUUAGGGUUUUUAAAUGUGGUUAAAUGUAAGGGUGGCAUGAUGCUUAUGAAAUGCAAUGCAUAUGGAGAGUUUUGAAAAUCGGAAUGUUACACACGCAACAAGGAGCCGCCUUAGAGAAUCGAGAUCCACAUCGUCAGAGGAGUAGGAGGCUGCGCACCGUCUCAACGCCACCGAACGGGGACUGGGCGGUGUGGACCCAGCCCACCGCUGCCUGGCCGGCCGCCGGCACCACCACGGUGCAGGUGCCAACACAACAGGUUCCACGCGCACCUGGAGAAGCGCCAAGAUCCACAGGCCCGCCCAGGACCAGAUGGGCCCUACGCGGGCCCAAAGCUCUCGGCCUCCGCCAAGAUCCACAUGGGCGCCUCCGUCGACCCUGCCGACGCCGCGCCGCCGCUCCAGCCGACCGCCGCCGCCCACCAGACGGCUCCCACCGCCAUGUGCCGAGCGCCGCCGCCUCCUUGCCACCAGCAGCGCCCAAAAGAAUCUCCGCCUUCGCGCGAAGGGGAGAGGCAGGGCGCCCCUCCGUCGCCCCCCGUCUUCGACGGCCAGGCGAGGCCGCCUCCGCCAGCGCAAGGCGGCGGCAGCGGCCGGGGAGGAUUCAACCUGCGGCGGCUAGGGUUUGGGUGGUGGAGUCGCCUCCGGAGUCGCCCCGCGCGAGACGACCCGGGAGGGAAGAUGGUAAUAGCUUUGCCCCCUACAUGGACAAAUAUGGAGGACGCAUUAAUUGAACGCUAUUCUAUCUAUGACCUCCGGAAUGGUAAUAUGUCGACCAAUAUUGCCCAUCUCUUCUGCGGAAUAUAUACAGUCAAACAUGGAAAUUUUGCAAACUUGGGUGUGCGACUGCAAACCAAACGGCAUGGAUGCAAAAUGAACAAUGCAUUGCAAGUGUUGUACUCCAACAUGUAAAGUCUUCUUUACUGAAGGAAGUAGCUUUCAUUCAUGGAAUGAUCACUCCAAGAAGCUCAGUAUGUUGACGAAAACGCGUCGAGGAAAGGUGAAAAGGCACUUGAGAAAUAUGAUUGAGUGAAUAGAUUCUUAC
rnacentral:lncRNA from 1 species